rnacentral:rRNA from 1 species
UGGGGGAUAUUGCACAAUGGGCGCAAGCCUGAUGCAGCGACGCCGCGUGGGCGAGGAAGUAUUUCGGUAUGUAAAGCCCUAUCAGCAGGGAAGAAGAUGACGGUACCUGACUAAGAAGCUCCGGCUAAAUACGUGCCAGCAGCCGCGGUAAUACGUAUGGAGCAAGCGUUAUCCGGAUUUACUGGGUGUAAAGGGAGCGCAGGCGGCGUGGCAAGUCUGAUGUGAAAACCCGGGGCUCAACCCCGUGAGUGCAUUGGAAACUGCCGUGCUGGAGUACCGGAGGGGCAGGCGGAAUUCCUAGUGUAGCGGUGAAAUGCGUAGAUAUUAGGAGGAACACCAGUGGCGAAGGCGGCCUGCUGGACGGAGACUGACGCUGAGGCUCGAAAGCGUGGGGAGCAAACAGG